UGCCUGGCAUUCCUGCAGUUGCCAAGGGGUGGGGCUGGGCUUUUGUUCCUCCCGUAUUAUUCAGUCAUUGGCUGUGGGCGCCCAGGAAGAAGCGUGACCUUGGGUGGGGCAGUCUUCUUCAGCCAAUCCUCAGAGAGGACUAACAGCCCUCCCAGCAGAGGGAGAUUAAGUCCUUCACUCCCGGGAGGUGUCUGGGAAGCACAUCCCAGUGUGUACCGCAGCAGCUAUGCAUGUGUCGUUUUACCCAUGAGAAAUCGGAAGUUCAGAAGGGACAGAGCCAGGAUGUGAGCCUAGAUCUAUUAACACCUGUGAAUCCUGUGCUGUUUUCCACCAUUCUUGCUGCCAAUUCGGCACAUUUUCAUGCCUCUCGACUUCUUACGGUGCCCGCCAUAUUCCCAGAACUUUGGAGAUGCCGAGAGCAUUUGAAACUGAACUUUGCUUGAUGAUCUAGGCCUCCAGUCUGCCAUUCGCCCUGCUCUCUUCCAGUCUGUGGAAGUGAUGGGAGAGAAGCAUGUCAGCAGGUGGGGUGCAUGGCUAGUCCAGCUGUGUUUCAUCAGUACAGUGCUGGCUACAGUCCUGUCCCUGGGAGUGAGACAGGAUAGGUAGUCAAGGAAGUGACCAUGUUCUUAGGAGGCAGCAACCAUGAUGACCACACAGUCAACACAAUAAGCCUCAGCAUUCUCAUUGUAACGGCUCAUCCAAGCAAAGCUAUCUUCAGCAGAGACUUUCCCCUCUAGAGAGCAUGUAUAUUUUGAUUUUACUUGUCCUCAGACUGACCCUUUGCUCAUUAUAAUAGUAAAAGACACACCCCUGGGUGGAGAUUUAAGAUGCCUAUGAGGCACACACUGCAUGAACAAACACGUAUGGCUACUGCACGUGUGCACCCAGAGGACCCCCCAGAACAUGCUUACUAGCAGCACCUCUUCCCACCUUCUUAUGAAUAAUCAUGUAAGACUCCCAGAAAGGGAGUCCCCUAGUGCCAGUCUUUGCCGUCUCAUCCUUACAUGCAGCCUGCCCUGAACUCUCUCAGGGUGUACUGUUGUAUUAGUCCAUUCUUACACUGCUAUGAAGAAAUACCGGAGACUUGGUAAUUUAUAAAGGAAAGAGGUUUAAUUGACUCUCAGUUCAGCAUGCCUGGGGAGGCCCCAGAAAACUUAUAAUCAUGAUGGAAGGUACCUCUUCACAGGACGGCAGGAGAGAGAAUAAGAGCCAGCAGAGAAAAUGCUAGAUGCUUAUAAAAACCAUUAGAUCUCGUGAGAAUUCACUAUCAUGAGAUCAGCAUGGGGGAAACCACCCCCAUGAUUUAAUUGCCUCCACCUGGUCCUGCCCUUGACACAUGGGGAUUAUGUGGAUAACAAUUCAAGGUGAGAUUUGGGUGGGGAUACAGCCAAAUUAUAUCAACUAUUCUGCACUUAGUUUUCAAAAUAUUAUUUUUCUUUUGCAGUAAAUUACUUUAUGCUACACCUCCUUUGCUGUGUCUCCUGUUUAAAUUGUUUUAAGCCAAGAAGACAAGAACCAAGGUAUCACAUCAGCCAUCAACGGGAGCUGCUGAUCUCUAGGCUUGCUCAGAAUUGUGAAGUUCUUGACUGAUCUCAUUAGUGGUCAUUUAGUUUUUGUGUAUAGGACAAGUAGGAGAUUAUUAACCUGGUAAAUUAAAAUAACACUUUGGGCUAAGAGUUAUUUAAAAAAAAAAAAAAAGAGUGGUGGCUCAUGCCUGUAAUCCCAGCACUUUGGAAGGCUGAGGUGGGAGGAUCACCUGAGGUCAGGAGUUCAAGAUCAGCCUGGUCAACAUGGCAAAACCCCGUCUCUAUUAAAAAUACAAAACUCAGCCAGGUGUGGUGGCACCGACCUGUAAUCCCAGAUACUUCAGAGGCUGGCGUGGGAGAAUCGCUUGAACCCAGGAGGCAGAGGUUACAGUAAGCUGAGAUCACGCCACUGUACUCCAGUGCGGGUGACAGAGUGAGACUCCAUCUCAAAAAACAAAAUAAAAACAAAAAAAUAACACUCUGAGCUGAAUGA
rnacentral:lncRNA from 13 species